GAUGAACGCUAGCGACAGGCUUAACACAUGCAAGUCGAGGGGCAGCACGGGAGUAGCAAUACAACUGGUGGCGACCGGCGCACGGGUGAGUAACGCGUAUGCAACCUACCUAUCAGAGGGGAAUAACCCGGCGAAAGUCGGACUAAUACCGCAUAAAACAGGGGCACCGCAUGGUGAUAUUUGUUAAAGAAAUUCGCUGAUAGAUGGGCAUGCGUUCCAGUAGGUAGUUGGUGAGGUAACGGCUCACCAAGCCGACGAUGGAUAGGGGAACUGAGAGGUUGGUCCCCCACACUGGUACGGAGACACGGACCAGACUCCAACGGGAGGCAGCAGUGAGGAAUAUUGGUCAAUGGGCGGGAGCCUGAACCAGCCAAGUCGCGUGAAGGAAGAAGGAUCUAUGGUUCGUAAACUUCUUUUGCAGGGGAAUAAAGUUCAGGACGUGUCCUGUUUUGUAUGUACCCUGAGAAUUAGGAUCGGCUAACUCCGUGCCAGCCGCCGCCGUAACAC
rnacentral:rRNA from 1 species